CGGAAAUACGGUGCCGGAUAACGUCCGGCGAGGGCGACCUCAGGGAAAGUGCCACAGAAAGCAAACCGCCUGCGCUUGCGCAGGUAAGGGUGAAAGGGUGGGGUAAGAGCCCACCGCGUCUCCGGCAACGGCGACGGCACGGUAAACCCCACCGGGAGCAAGACCGAAUAGGGAUGACGUGGCGGGCGAAAGCCCGUCGGCCGGUUUCCGGGUCAGUCAUCCGGGUGGGUUGCGUGAGGCAGCGUGCAAGCGCUGUCCCAGAGGAAUGGCUGCCACGUUCCGGUUUCGGCCGGAG
rnacentral:misc_RNA from 1 species